rnacentral:rRNA from 1 species
ACCUUACCUACCCUUGACAUGUACGGAAUCCUGCUGAGAGGUGGGAGUGCUCGAAAGAGAACCGUAACACAGGUGCUGCAUGGCUGUCGUCAGCUCGUGUCGUGAGAUGUUGGGUUAAGUCCCGCAACGAGCGCAACCCUUGUCCUUAGUUGCUACGCAAGAGCACUCUAAGGAGACUGCCGGUGACAAACCGGAGGAAGGUGGGGAUGACGUCAAGUCCUCAUGGCCCUUAUGGGUAGGGCUUCACACGUCAUACAAUGGUCGGUUCAGAGGGCUGCCAAACCGCGAGGUGGAGCUAACCCCAGAAACCCCUCUAGUCCGGAUCGCAGUCUGCAACUCGACUGCGUGAAGCUGGAAUCGCUAGUAAUCGCGGAUCAGCA